UCAAGACAAGUAAAUCUCACCUAUAAGAACUAGCAAAAUACUUCUGUUUACAAGCUAUUAGAUUUGUAAUGGAACAAUCCUAGAUUAGCCUAUAUCUUCAUAUUUCUUUAAAUACAUAGAAGUAAUAGGUAAUUAUGAUGUCUUUGAGUUAUCGGAAAGUGAUAAGAUACUCAGUGUAAUAUUCAUAGUCUUGAAACAGAACAUAAAUAUUUGGGUGUGAAAUGUUGUCUACCACAGAGUCAUAAGUUACGUCCGGAUCAGCAGUAUCCUUACUGGGUCUCGCUAUCAUACUAGAGUUCCCCCGUGUGUAAUCUCCGACCAAAACUUUGGCGUAAUACAUGUAGCGAAGCCCCUGCCAGUCCGGGGGUGAGUAGGUCAGAUUGCAGGAAUAACUAGCAUCUCUGGCAAAGUAAACACCUUUGCCAUAAGACGUGGCUGAAGAAAGAGAAAAUUGAGCAUCACUCUGUAUAGUCUAUAUAGGUGUAAUAUGAUGGAUUCGAGUGCAAUUUGGGAAAAACAUGCACGAGUGAGUUUUUCAAAUACGAUAAAAUUGCACGAGUGCAAUUUGAAGUCUUUGAAAAACUCAUGAGUGUCUAAAUAAAUUGCACGAGAAACCAUACUAUUACUUAUUAAUGAUAUACCGGGUGUCCCAAAAAAAAGUACUCCCG